CCGCGGUAAAACCAGCACCUCAAGUGGUCAGGAUGAUUAUUGGGCCUAAAGCAUCCGUAGCCUGCUCUGUAAGUUUUCGGUUAAAUCCAUCUGCUCAACAUAUGGGCUGCCGGAAAUACUGCAGAGCUAGGGAGUGGGAGAGGUAGACGGUACUCGGUAGGAAGGGGUAAAAUCCUUUGAUCUAUGGAUGACCACCUGUGGCGAAGGCGGUCUACCAGAACACGUUCGACGGUGAGGGAUGAAAGCUGGGGGAGCAAACCGGAUUAGAUACCCGGGUAGUCCCAGCUGUAAACUAUGCAAACUCGGUGAUGCAUUGGCUUGUGGCCAGUGCAGUGCCGCAGGGAAGCCGUUAAGUUUGCCGCCUGGGAAGUACGUACGCAAGUAUGAAACUUAAAGGAAUUGGCGGGGGAGCACCACAAGGGGUGAAGCCUGCGGUUCAAUUGGAGUCAACGCCGGA
rnacentral:rRNA from 1 species